rnacentral:rRNA from 1 species
UACGUAGGUGGCAAGCGUUAUCCGGAAUUACUGGGCGUAAAGCGCACGCAGGCGGUCUUUUAAGUUUGACGUGAAAGCUCUCGGCUUAACUGGGAGAGGUCGUUGAAUACUGGAAGACUUGAGGCAAUGAGAGGGGUGUAGAAUUCCCGGUGUAGUGGUGGAAUGCGUAGAUAUCGGGGGGAAUACCAGUGGCGAAAGCGGCACCCUAGCAUUAGCCUGACGCUCAUGUGCGAAAGCGUGGGGAGCGAAC